rnacentral:rRNA from 1 species
UGGGGAAUUUUGGACAAUGGGGGAAACCCUGAUCCAGCCAUCCCGCGUGUGCGAUGAAGGCCUUCGGGUUGUAAAGCACUUUUGGCAGGAAAGAAACGUCGCGGGUUAAUACCCCGCGAAACUGACGGUACCUGCAGAAUAAGCACCGGCUAACUACGUGCCAGCAGCCGCGGUAAUACGUAGGGUGCAAGCGUUAAUCGGAAUUACUGGGCGUAAAGCGUGCGCAGGCGGUUCGGAAAGAAAGAUGUGAAAUCCCAGAGCUUAACUUUGGAACUGCAUUUUUAACUACCGGGCUAGAGUGUGUCAGAGGGAGGUGGAAUUCCGCGUGUAGCAGUGAAAUGCGUAGAUAUGCGGAGGAACACCGAUGGCGAAGGCAGCCUCCUGGGAUAACACUGACGCUCAUGCACGAAAGCGUGGGGAGCAAACAGGAUUAGAUACCCUGGUAGUCCACGCCCUAAACGAUGUCAACUAGCUGUUGGGCCUUCGGGCCUUGGUAGCGCAGCUAACGCGUGAAGUUGACCGCCUGGGGAGUACGGUC